GAUGAACGCUAGCGGCAGGCCUAACACAUGCAAGUCGAGGGGUAGAGGGUGCUUGCACCCUUGAGACCGGCGCACGGGUACGUAACGCGUAUGCAAUCUACCUUAUACAGGGGAAUAGCCCAGGGAAACUUGGAUUAAUGCCCCAUAGUCUAUAGAAGCGGCAUUGUUUUUAUAGUAAAGAUUUAUCGGUAUAAGAUGAGCAUGCGUACCAUUAGCUAGUUGGUGCGGUAACGGCGCACCAAGGCUACGAUGGUUAGGGGCCCUGAGAGGGGGAUCCCCCACACUGGUACUGAGACACGGACCAG
rnacentral:rRNA from 1 species